rnacentral:rRNA from 1 species
GUACGGAAGGCAGCAGUCGAGAAUUUUUCACAAUGGGCGCAAGCCUGAUGGAGCGACGCCGCGUGGGGGAUGAAGGGCUUCGGCCCGUAAACCCCUGUCAUUUGCGAACAAUGCGUUGGUGUGAAUAGCGCCAACGUUGAUGGUAGCGAAAGAGGAAGGGACGGCUAACUCUGUGCCAGCAGCCGCGGUAAUACAGAGGUCCCAAGCGUUGUUCGGAUUCACUGGGCGUAAAGGGUGCGUAGGUGGUGAGGUAAGUCGGAUGUGAAAUCUCGGAGCUCAACUCCGAAAUGGCAUUGGAAACUACCUUGCUCGAGGAUUGGAGGGGGGACUGGAAUUCUCGGUGUAGCAGUGAAAUGCGUAGAUAUCGAGAGGAACACCAGUGGCGAAGGCGAGUCCCUGGACAAUUCCUGACGCUGAGGCACGAAAGCUAGGGGAGCAAACAGGAUUAGAUACCCCGGU